CAGUGCUAAAUCCCUAAACUUAGAGAAAAAUAGAAUAUACUAUAUUUUCAUUUAGUCCCUUAGGGGCCACAGUAUCCAGCUUGUAGAUCCAAAACGCUUCUCGCUGUAAUAAAGCUUCAGAUCUGUCACCCCCACGGGCAAGAGGGGGGACAUGAUCAAUCGCUAUAAAUCUUAAUGUAGGCAGAUGAUGUUGUGCUGCCAAAAAAUGUUUGGCGACUGGUUUUUCUGUUUUAUUAUCUUGGAAAGCUGUCAUAAGCUGUCAUAAUUCCAGAGCGAUGACCACGUAUGCGAUCUCGUAAUGUCAAAUCAGUUUUUCCUAUAUAGGAAAGUCCACACGGGCAGGUAAUCAUGUAGAUAACAUGGUCAGUGGUACAAGUAAUGUAAUGAGAUAUAGGUAUACGUUUGCCGCUUUGUGGGUGGCUGAAUGUUGUACCACUGAUCAUGUGACUGCAUGUCACACAACCGGAGCAUUUGUAGCAUCCUUUCUUUUUGAUAGUCGAUUGUCUUUUGUAGCAUUGAAUAGGGUCACUUUUCACUAAUAAAUCCCGAAGAUUUAUUUCUUUUAUAGCUUAUAAUCGGCUUUUCUUGAAAUAUAUGAGGAAGAUUGCAAUCCGCCUCGAGAAUGUCCCAAUGUCUUUGUAUCGAGUCUCUCAUUUUCAAUGUACCAGUGUGGAAAGUUAUCGGUAAAAAAACAUUAUUAUGUGAUUGUAGCUUGGUCUUAACUGUAGUGAUUUUUUCAUCAUCAAAUCGUUUAACAGCUUGACUCUUGGCUUUAUCCAAUACCCGUGGGUGAUAGCCUCGUGCAAGAAAACGAUCAUACAUCUCUUGAAGUUGUAGAUCCCUAGAAGAUAUUUCACUGUUAUAGCGAAGUACCCUAAGAAACUGUGAUAUGGGUAAAGCAUCCUUCAGAUGUUGGGGAUGGAAGCUAGUCGCCAAGAGAAGUGUAUUACGAUCAGUCUGUUUCCUAUAUAACGUAUAACAUAAUUUAUGUUUAUCCACAUGUUUGUAUACCAAGACAUCCAAGUAUUGUAUAGAUGUUGCAUGCCCUGUUGGUGUAAGUAUAAUGGGUAUCGGUGAGGAAUUAACGGUUUAAACCAUAUUCUUUAGUUACUCUAUUGUACCAUCCCAAAUAAGAAAAAUAUCAUCCACAUACCGAAUGUAUGUCAAGAUCUUGUAUUGAUAUACCGGUAGAAUGUAUUUAUUUUCAAACCAAAACAUAAAAGAAUUUGCAUAUGAGGGCGCCAUAGCCGCCCCCAUAGCUGUGCCUGCUAUCUGAAGGAAAAAUUGUUCCUCAAAUUUAAAAUAAUUGCAAGUGAGCGCAAUAGAAAGAAAUUCAAUAAGAUAUUCUAUGGGAGGACCUUUAUACAUGUCUGAGCUACAUAACAUUUCUCGGGCAGCUUGAAUACCAAGAUCAUGAGGUAUGACGGUAUAUAAACUUUGUACGUCAAGUGUGACAAGAAGAGUAUCCCUGUCGUUGGGUAAAUGUAUCUGUCGAAUAUGUUCUAAAAAUUCAGGUGUGUCUUUCAAACAGGUCGGAAGUUCUUUCACCAAAUUCUUAAUGUAGUAAUCCACAUAUUGUGCAAUUGGUUCGAUAAUAUAAUAUUUGCAGACACAAUGGGUCUGCCCGGUGGAUUUACAGAAUCUUUAUGUAAUUUCGGAAGUGUGUAAAGCACCAGGUGUCUAGGAAAUGGUACAUGAAGAAAAGCAGCUGUCUUCUGAUCUAAAUAUCCAGCGUGUAAUCCAAAAUUGAUGUGGUCAUCAAUAAUUUUUUGAAAUUUAUGUAUAGGAUCAAAAGUGAAUCUGCGAUAUGUCGUCUCAUCAUUCAGCUGGCGGAGAAUCUCCAGUUUGUAUUUAGUAUACGCCUGAAUUACUAUUGCACCGCCUUGGUCGGCCGGCCUGAUGACAAUAGAAGGAUCUCGCAUUAAAUCCAUUAGUGCUGAUUUUUCUUCUUUUGUUAAAUUGUAUCUGUGUUUAGGUGGUCUCUCGGAUAUUUGCAAUACAUCUUUAUGGACCGCUUGGGUAAACGUUUUAAUUGAGCUAUUAUUGCUAUAUAUCUCCUUUUUACUUCUUAAUGUAAACGGAUGAUCUUGUGUCUUUUUAUAUCUUUCCGGAUUUCAUUCAUACAUAGAAUUCUCUGGAGCUUAUACAUUUCUUUUUGAACUUGAAAAUGAUCUGGUUUACAGACCGGAAUAAAUGUGGUCCCUUAUUAAGAACUGAUAGAUGAUAUGGAUUCAGCUCUUUACCUGACAGAUUAUAUACAGGCGUCAUCGCUUCUUUAUAGGAGGUUUGGCGUUGUAAUUUGUAUUUCUUCUGCCCUCUUCGUAUGGGCUUGUUCCUUUUACGCCUUGGGUACGUGUUUCAGAUCACACAGGUGGAUCGUUGGUGUGUGCACCCUUGUCUAAAAAAGAUAGUUUUGGAUGUGUGUUGUACCUCUUUGCUUUCCGCAUCAGAUGCCGACUCCCCUGAACUCAUAUCAGUCGUUUGAAAAGAAGGUUUACGUAUACGCGAUUUAAAUUUAGGAUAUGUAUAUCUAGUAGGUUCAGACCCACUAAGCACUCGACUAUCCACCUGAUUGGAAACCUGAUCAGUCAAGGCAACCUUCUUCUAUAGCUCCAUGGUCCAAUUCUGAUGCUCACCUCCCCAUUGAAGGCACUUUUCGACAGAGGACAAAGGUAAUCAUGGGCACUCUGACCAGUCCUCAGCUACAAAGCCCCAUACGGAAUAAUCAGUGAUGCACUGUAUGUAGCAUUCAUGUUUCUGCUACAGUAGCUCUUCACUCCCCAAAUGCAUCAAUGAACCUCAGGCGCACAUGACCCUGGUUCACCAGUUGUCCUUCCUUGCCUCACUUUUGGUUGGUAUUAACCAGUGCAUACUUGUGAACACACCACAAGAUGUGCCAUUUUGAAGAUGCUCUGACUCAGUCAUCUAGCUAUCACUAUAUGACCUUGUUAAAGUCACUUAGAUCAUCUUUUUGCUUGCCCAUUUUUCCUGGUUCCAACACAUGAAAUUCAAGGACUGUUCACUUGCUGCAUAAUAUAUCCGACUUUUAUACAGGUGCCAUUGUUACUAUAUAAUCAAUGUUAUUCACUUCACAUGUCAUGGGUUUUAAUGUUGUGAUUGAUCAGUAAAUGCCCAACUUUGCCACUGGUGAUGAGAUUGAAAAGAAUACUGAGCCAGAUAGUAAAAGGUGCAAAUGUGAUAAUUUUAUUUGAAUUGAACAAAAAAUACAAUUUCACCAUGUCACAUUUCUGUAAAU